rfam:Erinaceus europaeus unplaced genomic scaffold scaffold00558, whole genome shotgun sequence
UUGCUUUGGCAGCAAAUAAACAAAAAUAGGAAUAAUACAUAGAAUAUUAGCAUGACCCCUGCACAAGGAUAACAUUCAAAUUAGUAAAAUGCAAAAUAUUUGG